GCUCAUUUCAGCAGCACAUAUACUAAAAUUGGAUCAAUACAAAGAAGAUUAGCAUGGCCCCUGCACAAGGAUGACAUGCAAAUUCAUGAAAUGUUCCAUAUUUUU